CCCACUCCCGGCACGGGGAGGUAGUGACGAAAAAUAACGAUACGGGACUCAUCCGAGGCCCCGUAAUCGGAAUGAGUAUACUCUAAAUCCUUAUACGAGUAUCAAUUGGAGGGGAAGUCUGGUGCCAGCAGCCGCGGUAAUUCCAGCUCCAAUAGCGUAUAUUAAAGUUGUUGCGGUUAAAAAGCUCGUAGUUGGAUCUGUGUUCCGCUCCGUCGGUACACCGCCUGUCGGUGUUUAACUGGCGAGCAUGCGGGACGUCCUGCCGGUGGCGGUCCGGUCCCGCGGUAGCGAUGGCCGUUCGUCCCGCCUUUUCAAUCCCGUCGCGGUGCUCUUUACUGAGUGUCGAGGCGGGCCGGCACGUUUACUUUGAACAAAUUAGAGUGCUUUAAGCAGGCUCGCCUGUAUGUUGUGUGCAUGGAAUAAUGGAAUAGGACCUCGGUUCUAUUUUGUUGGUUUUCGGAAUCUGAGGUAAUGAUCAAUGGGGACUGGCGGGGGCAUUCGUAUUGCGACGUUAGAGGUGAAAUUCUUGGAUCGUCGCAAGACGGACCGAAGCGAAAGCAUUUGCCAAGUAUGUUCUCGUCGAUCAAGAACGAAAGUUAGAGGUUCGAAGGCGAUCAGAUACCGCCCUAGUUCUAACCAUAAACUAUGCCUGCCAGCGAUCCGCCGAAGUCCAUUUUAUGACUCGGCGGGCAGCUUCCGGGAAACCAAAGCUUUUGGGUUCCGGGGGAAGUAUGGUUGCAAAGCUGAAACUUAAAGGAAUUGACGGAAGGGCACCACCAGGAGUGGAGCCUGCGGCUUAAUUUGACUCAACACGGGAAAACUCACCAGGCCCGGACACCGGAAGGAUUGACAGAUUGAGAGCUCUUUCUUGAUUCGGUGGGUGGUGGUGCAUGGCCGUUCUUAGUUGGUGGAGCGAUUUGUCUGGUUAAUUCCGAUAACGAACGAGACUCUAGCCUACUAACUAGGCGUACCCGGUAUCCACAAUUGUGCUACCGGCGGUCAAAUUUCUUCUUAGAGGGACAGGCGGCGUCUAGCCGCACGAGACUGAGCAAUAACAGGUCUGUGAUGCCCUUAGAUGUCCUGGGCCGCACGCGCGCUACACUGAAGGAAUCAGCGUGUCAUCCUUGUCCGAAAGGACCGGGUAACCCGCUGAACCUCCUUUGUUCUAGGGAUUGGGGCUUGCAAUUGUUCCCCAUGAACGAGGAAUUAACAGUAAGCGCGAGUCAUAAGCUCGCGUUGAUUACGUCCCUGCCCAAGGUACACACCGCC
rnacentral:rRNA from 1 species